CAACACUUUCCACCUCUCAGUCUGGUCCUGCAAAUCUUAGCUCUGGGCUCAGAGCUGCAGCCGGGCUUGGAUCUGCACACACACCUGCGUGCUUCUCUCCCCUGCUCCAGGACAACUGUGCAAGCCACACAGACUGCAGCCAAAGCCGAGGGGACAGCGGGAGUCAUUAACUCCAUCCCUCCUGUUUGCAGGCAAGCCAUUGAGUCAUAAAAUCUCAGGUCUAUGCGAGUUGAACAAGGACGAGAAGGACCCAGGCCGCGAUGGGAAAUCCAGACCAUCUUGGCUUUCCAAGGCAAACUGGUCUCUUAAACGCCCAGAGCUGCGAACAUCCCUUUCACGUGAAUGCCCCUUCCUCACUGGCUGCGGUCUUCUGAAAAAAGUAACAGGUCCAGCCCCUGUGAAAGGGAAGAGACCAAUUUGCCUUCCACAGGGAGAAACGAAGCCUUUGAAAAACCCGCCUCUUCAUUCAUAUCAAACCUUUGGACUGAUCAUACUUGGCAUAGGAGGGGCUCCCUCUGCUCAUUUAUAUAAAGACUUUCACAUGCAGUAGGAAACUUUGGUAUUAACAAUGGAGUGUGAGAUAGGCCAAUGAGUACCUAAGUAAAUGAAUGCACUCAGAGGUGGCUCAUUAACCUACAGCCUACUUCAAGGCACAUGGGGUUCCUCCAGCCCCCAUAUAAGCCAGGCCCCACACAGUCUGCCAGCACAGGACAUCUGGAAGGAUGCAGCUGUUCAGACACCACAGCCGGUUGCACACGCAGGUGACAGGAAAAAUUGUAUUGAGCGCUUUAUUCCAUUACAAGCAAUUUAUAUUUGGGCUAAAAGGGUACACAUUGCCCCCUGCCGCCCACAAGCCAGAUCUGCACCACACUGCUCUUCAGGUGAGACAAUUGGAAAUAUUCAGUGUAUCUGAAGCCCCAAACAACACUAAUAUUGCCCAUCCCAAGCCUUCUAAGUCAUACCUUUGGCUUUAACAAAAUAAGGUUUUAAAAAUAUAUAAUGACCAUUUAAUUUGCAUUGUGAGCCUUUAGGAGAGCCAGCUCUUCUCCACAAAUAUGGGGUAAUUGAGACUACUGUUUAAUGUAAGGUGAGAUCCUUGGGAAGCACAGGAUUGCAGCAGCUGGGGCUUGAAAGGAAACUCCAGCUACCCAGAGACUUCCAAUAAAACCCCAGGACUGUGUCAACCUA